rnacentral:rRNA from 1 species
CAGAGGGUGCAAACGUUGUUCGGAAUUACUGGGCAUAAAGCGCACGUAGGUGGUCCGCUAAGUCGCGUGUGAAAUCCCCCGGCUCAACCGGGGAAUUGCGCGCGAUACUGGCGGGCUAGAGAUCGGGAGGGGUGAGUGGAACUCCAGGUGGAGCGGUGAAAUGCGUAGAUAUCUGGAGGAACACCGGUGGCGAAAGCGACUCACUGGCCCGACACUGACACUGAGGUGCGAAAGCUAGGGUAGCAAACGGGAUUAGAUACCCCGGUAGUCCUAGCCGUAAACGAUGGGUACUGGGCAGGGGGAAUAUCUAUGUUCUCUCUGCCGGAGCUAAUGUGUUAAGUACCCCGCCUGGGGAGUACGCUCGCAAGGGUA